rnacentral:rRNA from 1 species
AGAGUUUGAUCCUGGCUCAGGACGAACGCUGGCGGCGUGCUUAACACAUGCAAGUCGAACGGAAAGGCCCUGCUUGCAGGGUACUCGAGUGGCGAACGGGUGAGUAACACGUGGGUGAUCUGCCCUGCACUUCGGGAUAAGCUUGGGAAACUGGGUCUAAUACCGGAUAGGACCGCACUUUAGUGUGUGUGGUGGAAAGUUUUUUCGGUGUAGGAUGAGCUCGCGGCCUAUCAGCUUGUUGGUGGGGUAAUGGCCUACCAAGGCGGCGACGGGUAGCCGGCCUGAGAGGGUGUACGGCCACAUUGGGACUGAGAUACGGCCCAGACUCCUACGGGAGGCAGCAGUGGGGAAUAUUGCACAAUGGGCGCAAGCCUGAUGCAGCGACGCCGCGUGGGGGAUGAAGGCCUUCGGGUUGUAAACUCCUUUCGCUAGGGACGAAGCUUUGUUGUGACGGUACCUAGAUAAGAAGCACCGGCUAACUACGUGCCAGCCGCCGCGGUAAUAC